rnacentral:rRNA from 1 species
CCUACGGGAGGCAGCAGUGGGGAAUAUUGGGCAAUGGGCGCAAGCCUGACCCAGCAACGCCGCGUGAAGGAAGAAGGCUUUCGGGUUGUAAACUUCUUUUAAGAGGGAAGAGCAGAAGACGGUACCUCUUGAAUAAGCCACGGCUAACUACGUGCCAGCAGCCGCGGUAAUACGUAGGUGGCAAGCGUUGUCCGGAUUUACUGGGUGUAAAGGGCGUGCAGCCGGGAAGACAAGUCAGAUGUGAAAUCCCGCGGCUCAACCGCGGAACUGCAGUUGAAACUGUUUUACUUGAGUACCGGAGAGGUCAGCGAAAUUCCUUGUGGAGGGGGGAAAUGCGUAGAGAGAAGGAAGAACAGAAGUGGCGAAGGCGGAGGACUGGACGGCAACUGACGGUGAGGGGCGAAAGCGUGGGGAGCAAACAGGAUGAGAUACCCGUGUAGUC